rnacentral:piRNA from 1 species
UGAAAGUGUCCCUUGAACCCAAGUAUGCUC